GACGAACGCUGGCGGCGUGCCUAAUACAUGCAAGUUGAGCGCUGAAGGUUGGUACUUGUACCAACUGGAUGAGCAGCGAACGGGCGAGUAACGCGUGGGGAAUCUGCCUUUGAGCGGGGGACAACAUUUGGAAACGAAUGCUAAUACCGCAUAAAAACUUUAAACACAAGUUUUAAGUUUGAAAGAUGCAAUUGCAUCACUCAAAGAUGAUCCCGCGUUGUAUUAGCUAGUUGGUGAGGUAAAGGCUCACCAAGGCGAUGAUACAUAGCCGACCUGAGAGGGUGAUCGGCCACAUUGGGACUGAGACACGGCCCAAACUCCUACGGGAGGCAGCAGUAGGGAAUCUUCGGCAAUGGACGAAAGUCUGACCGAGCAACGCCGCGUGAGUGAAGAAGGUUUUCGGAUCGUAAAACUCUGUUGGUAGAGAAGAACGUUGGUGAGAGUGGAAAGCUCAUCAAGUGACGGUAACUACCCAGAAAGGGACGGCUAACUACGUG
rnacentral:rRNA from 1 species